rnacentral:misc_RNA from 1 species
UCUCCGUUGGUGAACCAGCGGAGGGAUCAUUACCGAGUUUACAACUCCCAAACCCCUGUGAACAUACCAUUUGUUGCCUCGGCGGUGCCUGCUUCGGCAGCCCGCCAGAGUACCCAAACCCUUGAUUUUAUACAGUAUCCUCUGAGUAAACUUAAUUAAUAAAUUAAAACUUUUAACAACGGAUCUCUUGGUUCUG